rnacentral:lncRNA from 1 species
GUGCUUGGUAAUGUGAAGCAAAACACACAGCGUUCCGGGACUCGCUGAUUAAAACCGCAGCGCAGUGGGUGCCAACACAAGCAUUGCCCUAGGUGUGCUCGUGGCUGCGCCUGGCCUAGAGUUCGAGGUGGCUGUAGAACAGGAACAGUACAGACGCGUAUUACAGCCUUUCAGCCCUUGGUGACUCGGGCCAUUAGUUGCAGUGCCAAAUAGAACGAUUUUUGUCUGCUAGGACACUGGUACUGGCUAAGCGGUGAAAGUUUUGUAAGGACAUCGUGAAGGUUGGAGGUGAUUUCUUUCCAAACAUAUGGAAAAGAAAUUGGAGUGUGUAUCCUGGAUCUUUGCCAUUCAUUAGACAUGCAAAAAUGUUGGCAGUUGAGGGUGAGCUGAAGCAGGGGUGGGUAAAGCAAAACAUACCUGAAGUCUGCCUUUGAGCAGAUUUGCAGCUCCUAAAGUCUUCUGUGAUUUGGCCAGUCUGGAGUACUCAAAACCUUUCGCUUCAGUAAAAAAACAAAAGCUUCAACUCUGUUCUCUAAUUCUGUAGUAGGUGUCAGUGACAGUCUCAUGUGUGAAGAAUAAAGUCUCCGCUGUGUGCCA